rnacentral:tRNA from 1 species
UGAGUCAUGUUCUAGGAAUGAAUAUUAUUUACAAUAAUAUUUUGACUGUGCAAUUCAGUCUGGCUUUA